rnacentral:rRNA from 1 species
AUGAACGCUAGCUACAGGCUUAACACAUGCAAGUCGAGGGGCAGCAUGGUCUUAGCUUGCUAAGACUGAUGGCGACCGGCGCACGGGUGAGUAACACGUAUCCAACCUGCCGUCUACUCUUGGACAGCCUUCUGAAAGGAAGAUUAAUACAAGAUGGCAUCAUGAGUCCGCAUGUUCACAUGAUUAAAGGUAUUCCGGUAGACGAUGGGGAUGCGUUCCAUUAGAUAGUAGGCGGGGUAACGGCCCACCUAGUCUUCGAUGGAUAGGGGUUCUGAGAGGAAGGUCCCCCACAUUGGAACUGAGACACGGUCCAAACUCCUACGGGAGGCAGCAGUGAGGAAUAUUGGUCAAUGGGCGAGAGCCUGAACCAGCCAAGUAGCGUGAAGGAUGACUGCCCUAUGGGUUGUAAACUUCUUUAUAAAGGAAUAAAGUCGGGUAUGUAUACCCGUUUGCAUGUACUUUAUGAAUAAGGAUCGGCUAACUCCGUG